UGUGAAUUUUGUUUAAGAUUA
rnacentral:piRNA from 1 species